rfam:Tetraodon nigroviridis, WGS project CAAE01000000 data, contig: CNS0BNZE, chromosome: undetermined
GCUGAAAUAGCUCAGCUGGGAGAGCGUUAGACUGAAUCUCUAAAGGUCCCAGAUUCAAACCAGGGUUUCAGCA